UAUAGCACGAGGGUUCCACCUCUUCCCAUUCCGAACAGAGAAGUUAAGCCUCGUCACGCCGAUGGUACUGCGUAACAGUGGGAGAGUAGGUAGCCGCCGUUU
rnacentral:rRNA from 1 species